AUCAGGAAGUUCCCAGCUGUCUCCAGAGGUGGACAUUAGAGGGCAGUAAAUCAGGAAGUUCCCAGCUGUCUCCAGAGGUGGACAUUAAAGGGGAGUAAAUCAGGAAGUUCCCAGCUGUCUCCAGAGGUGGACAUUAAAGGGCAGUAAAUCAGGAAGUUCCCAGCUGUCUCCAGAGGUGGACAUUAAAGGGGAGUAAAUCAGGAAGUUCCCAGCUGUCUCCAGAGGUGGACAUUAAAGGGCAGUAAAUCAGGAAGUUCCCAGCUGUCUCCAGAGGUGGACAUUAAAGGGCAGUAAAUCAGGAAGUUCCCAGCUGUCUCCAGAGGUG
ensembl:lncRNA